AGAGUUUGAGUAGAAGGAGAACAACUCCAGGCUCAAGAGAAUAAGGAGAGAAGAGGGAGAUACCCGGGCAUGAAGCCAGGCAGCUGUCAUCCAGCCAGACACAGAGACAGCAAAAAAGUAAGAAAAGUCCUGAAGACCCAUGGUUCACCUUUGAUUUGUCAUCAAAGAAGAAACGGGCAUUCGUCUUAAAUGUCAGCCUCUCCACUCAGAAGCUCACCCUCCGUGCUUCUCUCUAGGCAUCUGUAUCUGAGGAGGCUGUGGUGUCCAUUGCUGUCCUGAUCUCAGCAAGCAAGCCACGCUCAUAGUCUUGUGGAUGGUGCAAUGUCUGCUGUGACAGAGGGGUCCAUGACACUCAGCUCACAUCCAAGGGAAAAGACAGCCUUUUGCCUCUGAGGUUCCAGAUCUCAGAGAAGACCUAUUUAGUGGCCCGGGAGUCAAUGAGUUAUACCAGAGGCAUUUCACAGUUGCUAAAGAAACAUGUUCCUUUGGUUUUUUUUUUUUUGAGACAGGGUUUCUCUGUGUAGCUUUGUAGACUAGUCUAACAUGGUCCUUUCUAUACAGCGUCCUUUUAUUGUCAUCUUUCUAUAUAGAUGGCCAAGGGAUUUGUGUCAAUGCUGUAAGUGGGCUGUAUGAGCACCCUGGACAGAUGUGUGUGUCUUCCCAUGAUGCCACAGUGAUAAAUAUGAAUAGUGAUAAAUUCCCAAGA